rnacentral:tmRNA from 1 species
GGGGGUGUUCCAGAUUCGAUUGGGCGACUGCGUUAAAGUGUAAGCAUACCGAAGGCUCGGCUUCGUAAAAACGGAACUUAAAAUUAAAUGCUAAUAAUAAUCAAAGUUUAGCUUACGCUGCUUAAGUCGGCGUUCGUCCGCGCUUUCCUUUCCCGUCGGGAAAGAUGCGGGCGUUAAUCAGACGGGGAACUGCUUAAAGAGUUCCGACCGCGACUCUUUAUGCGGAUUAAAGCGGUUACGGAUAUGCCAUAGCCCGCCGACGGGCAUAGCCUAUCUAAGAUCAAACGUCGGAUAAGUAUGUAGAAGGCUUUAGCAAAACGUUCAAGACCGGAGUGCAAAUCUCCGCACCUCCACCA